rnacentral:lncRNA from 1 species
UUCGGAUCAAGAUGUAGAACUCUCGGUUUCUCCAGCACUGCAUCGGCCUGCACACCACCAUGCUUCCCACCAUGAGGAUAACGGACUAAACCUCGGAAACUUUAACUUUUCAUUAUGUGUAUACCCAUGUGUCAGUGUGGAAGCGGGUGCACGUGAGUGCUGUUCCCCUGGAGGCCAGAAAAGGGAUCGUCUGGACUGGACUUGCAGAGUGUUUGAGUGCUCUGACACUGGACUUGCAGAGUGUUUGAGUGCUCUGACACUGGACUUGCAGAGUGUUUGAGUGCUCUGACACUGGUGUUGGACCUCUGUAGAUAUCCAUGGCUUGUGUUACCACUGAAGACCAUGAGAUGUUCACAGUCUGUGCUGCUGCCUGAAGCUACGUUGAUGUUUAUGGAUAGUGCUGCCACCAAAGGCCAUACUAAUCUGAGUGGCCUUUGCUGCCACCUGAGGCUAUUUUUAUGGCUGUGAUCUGGUCUUUGUCUGGAUCUGUGGUCCUCCUGCACCUGAGGGCCAUGUUCAUGGUCUGGGAUGUUAUCAGAAACCUUGAG